rnacentral:rRNA from 1 species
CAGCAGCCGCGGGAAAACGGAGGGUGCAAGCGUUAAUCGGAAUUACUGGGCGUAAAGCGCACGCAGGCGGUCUGUCAAGUCAGAUGUGAAAUCCCCGGGCUUAACCUGGGAACUGCAUUUGAAACUGGCAGGCUAGAGUCUUGUAGAGGGGGGUAGAAUUCCAGGUGUAGCGGUGAAAUGCGUAGAGAUCUGGAGGAAUACCGAUGGCGAAGGCAGCCAUCUGGCCUAAUACUGACGCUGAGGUACGAAAGCAUGGGGAGCAAACAGGAUUAGAUACCCGCGUAGUCCCUGUCUCUUAUAC